UACGUAGAAGACUAGUGUUAUUCAUCUUUAAUAGGUUUAAAGGGUACCUAGACGGUAUAAUUAGUCUUUAACAGGAAACGGUUAUACUAGAGUUAUAUAUGAGGAGGUGAGUAUUUAUGGAGUAGAGUUGAAAUUCUUUGAUACCAUGAAGACUGGUAAAGGCGAAAGCAACCUUUUAUCUAAUAACUGACGUUGAGGGACGAAGGCUCGGGUCGCGAACAGG
rnacentral:rRNA from 1 species